UACUGAGAGAAGUGAGCAUCAUGCAAUUGAAUAUGGAGGACUUUGAAGCUGUGGGCGGUGAAGUUGCUUUUUGUUUUAAACAGAGACUGAUAAGUCCAUGGUUACCUAAGAUGUGAUUGUUGAAUAGCCUCUUGGCUAGAAUCAUGUUGAAGAAGGAUAUUAAGGCAGCAGGAUGAGAGAGAUACACGGGGUCUGUCUGGAUCAUCUGAAACAUCAAAGCCCACCCCCAAUGACACACUUCCUCCAACAAGGCCAUGCCUCCUCCUCCUACCACUCCUUAUGAGACUAUGAUGCUGAUUUUUAUUCAAACUACCACAAUUAGGAAGCUAAAAGACUCAAUAUAAUUUCAGGGAGUCCCUGAUACUAAUGUGAUUCACAAGAUCCCCUUUUUCUAGAGUAAACAAUAAAAGCUUGGAGUUUUUCUCAGAUAAGCCCAUCUUCAAAGGAGACCUUUAAGACAAGACAAGCUAAUUGGAAAGAAACACAAACAGCAGAGCUGAAGGGAUGAGGAUUAGACCAGCUGAUUCACUCAGAAAGAACACUCUCUAACCCAUUGAACUGUCUAAAGGCUGUGAAGUGAACUCCAGAUUCCAAGCUUUUUUGAAUUGUCUCACAUGCUGAUGUGGACUCCUUUGACAAAUGUGAUUUUGAAUCAUUUGUGUUCUUCUAAAUAACCCCUCAUCCAUAUUCUUGUAAGGAACCACAAUAAACCUCAAAGUUCACCAAUCUGGA